CCAAGAAAAGAUGUCAACAGCGCGACUUGUAACAAUUAUAAGGCCGAGGAGGGUUAUUUGAACACACACCAUUCAAUUAUUAUAAAUGAAAGUCACGUUUUUUAACCGCUCCGGUCUCGUCCCAGCGGAAGUGACGCUAGCACGUCAUCAGAAUACAACAGGUUGCUAACUAACACGCCUCCUAUCAUGUCAGCGCUGUUAUUUGUUCCAAUGUCAUUCAUUCCUUCUCAUUUACAUCAACACGACGAGAGAGACAUUCUGCCGCUAGACAAAGGUCACCGAGCAGCGACGAAGUUUGCAUUUUCGGUAGAGGUCCAGGGAGCCACGAGGGCGGUGCUAAAGAGACGCGGGUUGCUGACCCCCGGCCUACACCCUAGACUGGCCGCCAGUUCAUCACAGGACACAUGAACAAGCCUUCGCCCUCAAAUCAGAGAAAAAUGGCAACAGCAGAGGAUGGAUGUCCCAUAACAAGAAGGUGGAGAAAAAGAAGAAGCUUAUCGACUACGGUGUCGGCACGGACUACAAAGGCGGACCUGCACAAAUUUUCAGGUACCAGAAGGUA